AGACUGAUAUAAAUAAAUACGUUGAAAGUUUGAGGAACAACAGGUAUUUAAGUAGUUUUCAAUACAUUCCCCAUAAAAUACUUAAUAAUUACAAAGAAGGAAGAAGAAACUACAUGGAGAAGCCUGUUGGACACCACCCUAAUCAAGUGAUCAGAGUGAUCCUCAUCAAUAGUGGGACGAAUGGAAAUCUUGAGCCACCUAAUGGGAUGCAAUGAGAAGAGCCCAGCAUCACUUCCGUGAUAUUCCUAUCAAAGAUGUAUAACCUGAAUUUUGACUUUUUUUGUGUGUGUGUGUGGUGAGGAAGAUUGGCCCUGGGCUAACAUCUGUUGCCCAUCCUCCCCUUUUUGCUUGUGGAAGAUUGUCCUUGAGCUAACAUCUGUGCCAAUCUUCCUCUAUUUUUGUAUGUGGGAUGCUGCCACAGCAUGGCAUGAGGAACAGUGCCUAGGUCCGUGCCCAGGGUCCAAACACACAAACCCUGGGCCACCGAAGCAGAGCAUGUGAACGUAACCACUACGCCACCACACCGGCCCCUGAAUUUUGACCUAAAAAAAUAUUUAUUUUUUAGGUGAUCCCACAAGGAGGAAACAAUCAGACAAAUCCAGGCUAUGAGACAUUCUAUAAGACAAGCAGAUGGGACAGCUGGGGAGAGGCGGGGAGAGGAUGUCAUCAGGCACCUGGGAGGGAGUGGGCAGUCCCGUUACAUACACACUGCACCCUAUUACAGCCCUGCAGACUUUUUGUAGCUGAGGAAACUGAGGCACAGGGAGGUGAAGUCAAUUCUUCAAGGACCCAGCCGCAGACCCUGGAUUGGGCUUGUCUUCAAAGCCCUCACUCCCAUCUGCAGGCCGAUUCUGGAAUUGAUGGUUGGAGCAAUUUUGGGUGGCGGAUGGGGCACAGGCAAGACAUGACUGAACUUUUUGGCUGGGACUGGCACAGGGCAGGCAUUUACUCGACAUUUGUUGGUGGAUACAGGGCUCUGUGCUCCCGGGCCAGAGGCCGGCUUACACAGGUAGAACAUGCACAAAGAGGAUUCUAGACGCAUCCCUGCUGGGGGGCAGCCAGGGCUGAGAGCCCGGGCUGUGGGCCCAAGGGCCUGGAGGAACAGGGUGCCUUCUGUUUGACCUCAAGGAGCAGCUGCCACCUUCUCCCUCCCACUUCUCUAUCAAGGCCUGUAGCAGCAAGAAAAUUGUAGUCUCAUUACCCAGUGACCCGAGAAGCACAAUUAAGCUGAAAAUUAGUUGGCAUAAUUAAUUAGAUGGGUAAAUAGCUCCCUGUCAACACCAAUCAAUCCAUUCUGCAUAUAAUCAGCUCGGCACCGGCAGGAAGGAGCUCCUGCAGCUGCUGCUUCUGCUGGUGGGCCAGGGCCUGGGGGGAGCGGAAAUGGGCACCAGGGGACAGGAUGUGCAGCCAGGGUAGGAGACCUUGCUGUGCUCCCCACACCGCAUGUGGAGCGUGGGCGAUGGACCUUGGAGCCCGUUCCCGGCCAGGUCACGGAAAGGCCUACCUGGUCACUGAAAUCAGAGCCCACACACCUUUGGAAUGUGGAGCCAGGUCUUUGAUCAGAGUAAAAGCUGAGGAUAUAGAAAUGAACCAACUGCAGGUCUGCCCUCAAAGAAAGACGUGCAGUUACAGUGGAAUGUGAGGAGCGCUUCCUGUCAUCAUCAAAUGCCGGUGGGCCCGCCGUGGGCUCUGCACAGCCUACAGCUUGGCCCCCGCUGUGGAGGGGCCUACACUCCACUGGGAAAGACAGCAAAGGAGGAGUCACGACCUCCAACCUCCAGCUGGGAUGAGUGUUAAGGUCAGGGGAGCAAGAGCUGUGAGAAUACAGAGCCGGGUGUCCUGGCCCAGCCCAGGGCUGGAGGCGUGGUGAGGACCUCAAAGAGACAAGUUCCAGAGGGCAGGCCUCGGCGCUGGGGCACAGGGUGACUUCCUCCUGAAGCUGUUAGGCAGGACACAGACAAGCCCAGAUUAAUGCCUGUGACAGAGGCCUCUGGCCACAGUGUGGAGAAGAGCAAGAGGCCCUCAGGGAACAUCCGGGCUGGCAGGGGUCAGGCCUUCCUUCUUCUCUGUGCUUCGUCAGCACAGUCAGAGCAAUGACUCUCAGACGCUUCCACAACAGGCUGACUCACACGGUGCGGUCCGCUCGUCCAGUCACAAAUGGAGCUGGGAGGACGUGGCCUUUCGCUGCCCUGGAUAGAUGACAAAAGAACUGUUGGCUGUUCCUCCCGCCCUGCACUCGGCCUCCCUGAACUUGCCCAGCUGGCUGCACCCUCGCUUCUGGCUUGUCACAGCCAGAAUACUGAGAGGAGACACGUGGGCCACAGCGGGGUCCUACACCACCCCCAGUCCUGGUUGGGAAGGGGCCAGGCCUGGGAACCCUUUGCUGCCUCUCAAAGUACCACAGGAGAACUUUCUCCUGAAAUGGGGCCUUUCUGCCCAGCCUCCUUCUUUCCCCAAUAACCUCUCCCCUCACCUGCCCUCUGGACUCCCUCUAGAGUUUUAUUUUUUUUUAAGCAGAGAGGACUGGAAAGCUGAUGAGAGUCACAGUGAGCAUGGAUUCUGGAAGCCACUCACCCUGACUUCCCUCCCACUGGAGCAGCGACCGCAGAGGACCGUGAGAGGAAAGACAGGCUGUGGGCCGCGGCCAGCUCAGAUGCAGCCCACUAUCGGGUUGUGACCCCCGCCGAGCCGAUGGAGACAGUGACCCGUGGGUGGGAGGGAAGCUCAGGGAGAGGUCAGGGGUGAAAACAAAAGUCCCAGCUCUUAACACCCGUGAACACCCCCAACACAGACAAAUCUUGGAGCUUCUGGGGGUGAAACAGAAAACCUGCCCAAAUUCAGGACAGAACAUAGUUUCAGGCUGUCCACAAGCUCCUUAGACUUCCACUGUCAACAUGCACAGGAAUGUUUGCUACUGUAUUUGUUCCUAACUGGGAAGAAUUCGAUGUUCUAGAAUUAGAAGGCCUAGAGCAGCUCGGGCUCCAUCACUAAGGACCACAGACUGUGGGGCUUAAACAAGAGAAAUUUGUUCUCUCACAGUUCUGGGCACUGGGAGGCCCAGAUCAGGGUGUUAAAAGGGUUGGUUUCUUCUGAGUCCUCUCUCGCGGCUUGCAGGUGGCCGUCUUCCUCCCGCGUCUUCACAUGGUCUUUUUUGUUGGCGUCUGUGUCCUGAUCUCGUCUUCUCAGAGACAGUCUGUUGUGGUUAGAAAGAACAGGAAGAUCUACGUGUAUUGGCAGGGAAAGAGUUUCCAGCUAUUGUUGAGUGGGGAAAGUCAGUCACAGGACAAUAUGUUGAGGGGCGAGGGUGGGAAGAGUGCUCAGUUCUUCACUCUCUCCCUCGCCCUGGCUUUACAGCCUCUCCCACCGUGGGCCGAGUACAUUUCCCAGCCCCAGGGAUGUUGAACUUGGCCAGGUGACUUGGUUUGGCCAAUGGAACUCAACGGAGGCACCCAGAGCAGACACCUUCAAUGUGCUUACUUGGCAGAGCUUGGUCUCUUGGGAUGCUGUGACCCCCAGUGAGAAGAAUACAUCCCAGGGAAAGGCUGGUCCAAGGAGAACGUGGAGAUGUGACAAGCAGAACUGAGCCCAACCUCAGCCUGGAGCUAGCCCAGUAACUCACAUACCCAGGAGCAAGAAAAAUACACACUUACCUGGAAAGCAUUAUGCUGAGUGAAGUCAGCCAGACACAAAGGACCAAUAUUGUCUGAUUCCAUUUGUGUGAAAUAUUUAGAAUAGGCAAAUCCAUAGAAAGUAGACCAGAGGCUACCAGGGGCUGGAGGGAGAGGCGAAUGGGGAGUUAAUUACUUAAUGGGUACAGAGUUUCGGCUUCGGGGGAUGAAAAGGUUUUCGAAAUAGUUGAGACUUGCACAACAUUGAGAAUGUACUUAAUGCCACUGAACUGGGCACCUAAAAAUGGUUAAAAUGGUAGAUUUCGUGUUAUAUAUAUUUUACCACAAUUUCAAAAAACGAUGUAAUACAUACAGUCAUGAACCACAACGAUGGACCAAAUAUACGACAGUGGUCCCGUAAGAUUAGUACCAUGUAGCCUAGGUGUGUAGGAGGCUCUGCCUUCUAGGUGUGUGUACGUAUACUCUCUGAUGUUCACACGACGACGAAAUUGCCUAAUGACGACGCAUUUCUCAGAACGCAUCCCUGUUGUUAAAUGGCUGUACACAGAAGCCAUUGAAUUGUACGCUUUAAAUGGGUGAAUUGUAUAGGAUGUGAAUCAUAUUUCAAUAAAGCUAUUUUUUAAAAGC
ensembl:lncRNA